rnacentral:rRNA from 1 species
CUACGGGGUGCAGCAGUCGAGAAUCAUCCGCAAUGGGCGAAAGCCUGACGGUGCAAUGCCGCGUGGGGGAUGAAGGCCCUCGGGUCGUAAACCCCUGUCAGGAGGGACGAAGAAGUGACGGUACCUCCAGAGGAAGCCACGGCUAACUACGUGCCAGCAGCCGCGGUAAUACGUAGGUGGCGAGCGUUAUUCGGAUUUACUGGGCGUAAAGGGUCCGCAGGGGGUUUGCCAAGUCUGGUGUGAAAUCUCACAGCUCAACUGUGAAACUGCGCUGGAUACUGGUGAACUAGAGUGCGCGAGGGGUGAGUGGAAUUCCUGGUGUAGCGGUGGCGUGCGUAGAUAUCAGGAAGAACACCAACGGCGAAGGCAGCUCACUGGCGCGCAACUGACCCUCAUGGACGAAAGCGUGGGUAGCAAACAGGAUUAGAUACCCUGGUAGUC